rnacentral:lncRNA from 1 species
AGAGAAGACAGAGAGAGCAGGGCGAUGGAAUGGACCAAAAGCAUAUGGCCAAGAGAAGUGCCCCCUGAGGACAGACUGAUAGACCAAGAACAGCCCGGGCAAGACUCAAACACUAGAUCUACGGACUUUGUCAUCUUCCUGUGACAGCUGAUGGCAACCCAAAGAAGACAGGUCAUUGAAACCAAAAUUACCUUCUAAUCUUCCUCCAGAAUUGUAAAAGGAGAAAAAAUUUGAUGUUCUUAAAGAUGUAUCCAUUAGCCUUAAUUUACUCUCAAGGACCCACUCUAGUACUAUUUGUUGUAGCUGUUAUUUAGUUGCUAGGACCUGAAAUCAGGACCUAGAACAUACUGGCAUAUCUGUUGGAACCUACUUCUUCAGGGCUCCAGCUUAUACAGAAGACAAGCGAAUCUCCUAGCCUCGCAGGACUGAGCAACUACUAGACUCUUGGACUUCCCAUUCACAGCUGCCUAUUGGGUUGGUUGGACUGGAGACUCAAGUCAUUCCAAUAAAUUCCCUUAAUAUAUACAUUCCAUAAGUUCUGUGACUUUAGAGAAUCCUGACUAAUUAAUGAAAAAGGAUUUGAUACUACAAAUGACCCGUUUCUUACCAUACUUUUGCCUUAAUUUUUUCUUUUUAAAAAUCUGGGACAUGAUAUCAUUUGCAGCCAUGGCUGACACUGAACUCAGGUUCCUCCUGUCCUGGACUUUCGGAGUGCUGGGAUCACAGGCAAACAUCACCACAGUUAACUACCUUCGUCUAUUCCUAUUAGAACCCGUUUAUAAUAAUUGCCUAGUUCAUAAUAUUCUGUUUCCUCCGUUUUGCAUUAUUCAUUCCAAUUUUACUACAAUAAAGACUUUUUCUACUUACUUGUUUUGAAAGUAUUUGAUUAUAUAAGUAUGAAGGUACAUUUAUUUUAUUUCAUGGGUUAUAAUUAAUUAUGAUCAACAUUUUUCUAAAGCUAUCCGAAGCUAGGACAGCUUUCUAAUUUUCUGACAGAAAACUAACUAUUGUGAUUCAUAGAAUAUUUGCUUAUUUGCUAUCGGCCAAUGAAGUAAUUUCAUAAUUGCUAACAAAUAUUUCAGAAAAGUAAAUGUUCAGAUUUUUUUUUUUUUUUUUUUUUGGUAAGCUAACUCAAAAGUUUUUCACACUGAAAACAAAAAGAAAGGGUUCAAAGGAAGGAAGGAAGGGAAGGAAGACCUUACAUACUUCUGAGUAUAUAGAAUAAAUAUUUCACUAGGCUUAGGUAAAAUAUGUGCAUUAAUAUGAUAAAAAUUAUUAUAUAUAUUUUACAUUUUAUAGAUAACAACCUCACAGUAUAUACUUCUAUUAUAAGAAUAAAUUUAAUACCCUUUUCUUUAUAUAUUUUGGUCAGAAUAGGUCUCAAGCCAGCAGUAUUGUUCACCCAUUCAAUAAUCCCACAUUCAUCAUUCAGUGGAAUAACUGCAUAUGUUCGGAUAUGAAGUUCUCUUCGACGUGAUUCUGCAUCUUUUCUUAAACUCUAUGGAAAACAAAGACAGAAAUAAAAAAAUUUAGGAUUCAGAUUCCUAUUAUGUCAAAUUUAUCAAAAUAUUGUUCAUUUCCUAGUAAAAGUGCUGAUGGCAGCCUGUAAUGAAUAAUUCUGAAAGUUAGAGGAAGAAGUUAUGGGAUCAUAGCUAUUCUACUUCUAAACCUUAAAAUGCCUUGGAAUAGCUUCUCUUUAGUUCUCUACUAUGCAUAUAAUAGAAUAUUACACUUGAAAAAGCAGUAUGAUAGCCAUAUCAACAACAAAACACUAUCGUUUUCUACAGCAUUACAGAUAAUGAUUAACAAUAAGUACUUAAGCACAGAAACUAAUGUUUACUUUUAUCUAAGAAUUGUUAUUUUACUUUCCUCAGAUAAUGUCUUAAGGAAUCAUACUAUCUACCAAAAAAAAAAAAUUCCCUAAUCCUGUAAUGUAUGUAAGUCUGUGUAUAAAUAGAUGUAAUUAACCUUUUAUUCUGAGACUAGGUCUUGCUUGCCAAACUUACUAAUAAAAAAUGAAUUCCAUUAGUCUACAA